GCCGCUGCGCGGAGAAACGAGUUGGUCGCGGUACUACCAGGGACGUGGUGGGGAUCGUUAUAUAAUUAUACUUAUUUGAGCACAGAAAGCAAGAAAAUAUUUAAAAACAAACAAUUUCUUAUUUUCUAUAUAAUAAUUAGACAACUUUCGAUUAUUCAAGUUUUAAUAAAUGUGUUUUAAACUUUCAUUUUAUUGUAUCGAGUUUACGUUCAGACAUAAGCCCAAAUAAAAGGGUAAAAUUUGGGGCAUUUGAGGCAAUUAGAUAUAUGUGCAAUCUUUUAGGUUUCGUGGGUGGCUGUAAAAGUUAUAUAAUAUAUAUUUAGGUCGUAAAUAUAACCAAUGGGAUAACGAAAAUGAGAUUGCGUUUUUUCAAAGGUUUAUGCAGUAUGUUAGUUCAAAUAUAGGAUAUCCAAGUCGACAAGAAAUGACUGAAUUUGGAAUAAAAUACGGGUUUGGCUACGGUACAGUUAGAAAUAAAAUCACUAACGAAAGAG